GAGCACAGGUGAGGUCAAUCGGCAAAUGAGCGAUGCUAACGUGCUAGCAGCGAGUUAUCCCUGUUCCACAUGGCCAACAGCCGGUGUUAACGUUUAUUAUGAUAGAUGCAACAUGUCACUUGUCAUGACCCGUCACCGCGACAGCAAGUAGGCUGUUAACCUGAACUAUAAGGAGUGCAAUCAGAAAGAGAGCAGGAACAGAAAUCCUGGAUGGAUUUGACCCAUUUUCUUUGCAAGGAGGAUGACCAGAGGGGAGAAGGCUACUCAUGUUACAUAAGGUUAUCCCAGCAGCCAAGUGAAUCUGGAGCACAAAUGAAUUAAGGGAGAAUUAAGGAGCCUGUGCAAAGUGAAGCCUUUCCAAAUCUCGGCACAGAUGAAAGGAAUGCAGCAAAAGACUGGAAACGGAGGGAAACAGCUGGCCUAAAUCUUCCCACAGGUCUGGAAAAGCUGUUUCAUUGAUUCUGCAGGAAAUGCAGAUUGAUCCGGCUGAAUUUGCAUGGGAAUCCAUUCCGUUUGAGCCGAGAGAUCAUAAUUGAUCAGAUGGGAUAAAGCCUGCAUCUAGCUUGCCUUUGAAAGGUUAAGGUGAAAAUGAAUUUGCUUGUUCGUUAGUUACAUUUCAAUCCUGUAAUUAAGUCUUGCAAAUGAUUAAAAUGUAAAACAAUGGA